rnacentral:rRNA from 1 species
UGGGGAAUAUUGGACAAUGGGCGAAAGCCUGAUCCAGCCAUGCCGCGUGUGUGAAGAAGGUCUUCGGAUUGUAAAGCACUUUAAGUUGGGAGGAAGGGCAUUAACCUAAUACGUUAGUGUUUUGACGUUACCGACAGAAUAAGCACCGGCUAACUCUGUGCCAGCAGCCGCGGUAAUACAGAGGGUGCAAGCGUUAAUCGGAAUUACUGGGCGUAAAGCGCGCGUAGGUGGUUUGUUAAGUUGGAUGUGAAAUCCCCGGGCUCAACCUGGGAACUGCAUUCAAAACUGACUGACUAGAGUAUGGUAGAGGGUGGUGGAAUUUCCUGUGUAGCGGUGAAAUGCGUAGAUAUAGGAAGGAACACCAGUGGCGAAGGCGACCACCUGGACUAAUACUGACACUGAGGUGCGAAGGCGUGGGGAGCAAACA